UACGUAGGGCGCAAGCGUUAUCCGGAAUUAUUGGGCGUAAAGAGCUCGUAGGCGGUUUGUCGCGUCUGCCGUGAAAGUCCGGGGCUCAACUCCGGAUCUGCGGUGGGUACGGGCAGACUAGAGUGAUGUAGGGGGAGACUGGAAUUCCUGGUGUAGCGGUGAAAUGCGCAGAUAUCAGGAGGAACACCGAUGGCGAAGGCAGGUCUCUGGGCCGAUAUCGACGCUGAGGAGCGAAAGCGUGGGGAGCGAACAGG
rnacentral:rRNA from 1 species